UUAGGGAGCUACCAUUUGAUUUUUAUGGGGGGGGCUAGGAUGAAAAAUUUUGUCCUGCUUUUUUUUUUAGUUGUAAUCUCUGUCCUGCCUUUUUAUUUUUUACUCUAUUCGGUCCUGCCUUUUUUUUUUAUUAGUUUAUCCUGACUUUUUUUACACAAAUUGUCAUCCUGCCUUUUUUUUUUUACCAAGUUGCUCAUCCUGCCUUUUUUUUUACUCAAAACUCCUGUCCUGCCUAUUUUUUCAAAUUUCAUCCUAGCCCCCCCCCCCCCCCCCCCAUAAAAAUCAAAUGGUAGCUCCCUUAU
rnacentral:lncRNA from 1 species